rnacentral:rRNA from 1 species
GACGUAGGGCGCGAGCGUUGUCCGGAUUUAUUGGGCGUAAAGAGCUCGUAGGCGGUUUGUCGCGUCGGAUGUGAAAACCCAGGGCUCAACCCUGGGCCUGCAUUCGAUACGGGCAGACUAGAGUAUGGCAGGGGAGACUGGAAUUCCUGGUGUAGCGGUGAAAUGCGCAGAUAUCAGGAGGAACACCGGUGGCGAAGGCGGGUCUCUGGGCCUUACCUGACGCUGAGGAGCGAAAGCGUGGGUAGCGAACAGG